GGGACGCAGCAUUCCCUCCAAGAGCCUCGGUAUGGAUCCUUCCUCACCUUUUCUUCCUUUGUUUUUCUUCUUCUUUUUUGAUGCGUGAGUGCCUGCUGUUAUGUGAAGGAAGGCAAAUGGGGAAGCUGCUGCGGGUUCUUCGACCUCCCCUGCCUCAUCCCGUCUCUGUAGGUGCAGCAUGUAGAUCGGCCAGAGGAGGUGGAUGUGGAGGAGCAGGCCAACACCCCUCCCUCUUGACCUCCCACCCAGCACUGGAUACUAUUGUGAGAUGGUCUGAUACAUGAAAGACAGGCUCAAGUCCCUCUAGGGAAGCAUCCAGUAUCCCUGUUCUACUGAUUUCGCCGGAACGUCGAACUAUGCUCCACCUGAGAGCACUGGAAGCAAUCACAUCAUGAGAGGGUCAACGGACAACAAUCCGACAUGUGUCACCGACAGUGAAGGAAGCUGCCAUUCUACAAAAGAACAAUCAUUCGAGCUACCAUGAUGUGAGAGCGACAAGCAACCGUGAACCAUUGCACAUUAGCAACAAAAGAGGUAUAUCAGUUUACCAUCCCCGCUGCCUUGACACUAUCACAACACAAUGCAAGUUCAUAUACUAUCCGAUCUUUACUGAUGCUCGUUUUCUACUUUUCGGUUAUCAAAUAUUAAGAGAAACACCACUAUGCUAACAAGCGAAAGGUUCAGGCCGACAGGACUUUGACACGGGGUAACAUGUCCAUCUCCGUUUCUCAUGGUUAACGAUGUUUUUCCCUAACCAUGGGCUAAAAAUCAUAUGCUACCGUGCAGGACCACAUCCCAUUGGUUAUGACAAUUAGACCCAUUAGUCAGAAUCUUUCAGAUAUCAUCAUCUAUAAAGAUAUUAUGUACUGGUGAUUUGAUCCAUUGUGCCACUCAUACUUCACCUAUUUGGAUCAUUUAGCUCGAGCAAUUUGCACAAUCUUAUUCUUACAGUAAGUGUAGAGUAUUCAUAUAUACAUAUAAAGUUAGUCAUGAUCCGCUUCCUGUAUGUUAUGUAGGUCCGACAUAUUCUAAACUUAAAAUAUUAAUGGGCAGUACGAAUGACCUUAAGUGAACCAUUUCCUGCAAAUUAAACUAAAUCUUGCCAUCUUCAGUAAUCAUGCAUAUACAUGUGCAUUAGUUUUUAUCAAAUAUUGUAGCAUGGUGUUAAUUUGGUUGGACUGGUCAACUGUUCUAGCAAUUCUUGCUGCAAUAUUCAUUCUAUAGUAUGUACUAGAUCUUAGACAAGAUAAUUUCCUAUCUAUUAAUAAAUUUUUAUGGACAAGAUUAUUAUAUCUGUUUCUUCCUAGACAGAAAAUACAUUUUCUGACUUUUAUACUUUUCCAUAUGCUUUUCUGGAAUUUGCACACACACACACACACACACACACACACACACACACACACA